rnacentral:rRNA from 1 species
CAUAGCCGCGGGAAUACGUAGGUGGCAAGCGUUGUCCGGAAUUAUUGGGCGUAAAGGGCUCGCAGGCGGUUUCUUAAGUCUGAUGUGAAAGCCCCCGGCUCAACCGGGGAGGGUCAUUGGAAACUGGAAAACUUGAGUGCAGAAGAGGAGAGUGGAAUUCCACGUGUAGCGGUGAAUGCGUAGAGAUGUGGAGGAACACCAGUGGCGAAGGCGACUCUCUGGUCUGUAACUGACGCUGAGGAGCGAAAGCGUGGGGAGCGAACAGGAUUAGAUACCCGGGUAGUCCCUGUCUCUUAUACAC